GGAGGGAUCAUUAAAAUUCACUGCUACUUUAGUAGUGGGUCGACUAACAUUCAUGUUUUUUUUUAACCUUGGGAUGGGUAACCCUAGCAAGGUUUUGAGUAACUGUUGUGAGACAGUUAUACAACCAAUUAAAAUCCCGAAAGGGCGUUUGGGUUUAGUGCGCGAGCAUCAUCCCAUUGUUUAUCCCGAAAGGGCGUUUGGGUUUAGUGCGAACAUCAUCCCGUUAUCCCGAAAGGGCGUUUGGGUUUAGUGCGCGAGCAUCAUCCCAUUGUUUAUCCCGAAAGGGCGUUCGGGUUUAGUGCGAGCAUCAUCCCGUUGUUUAUCCCGAAAGGGCGUUUGGGUUUAGUGCGAACAUCAUCCCGUUAUCCCGAAAGGGCGUUUGGGUUUAGUGCGCGAGCAUCAUCCCAUUGUUUAUCCCGAAAGGGCGUUCGGGUUUAGUGCGAGCAUCAUCCCGUUGUUUAUCCCGAAAGGGCGUUAGGGUUUAGUGUGAAAACAUCAUCCCUUUACCAUUUUUAAUGGUCGAACACCUGUCGACGGGGGAUAUCUAGGUUCCCACAACGAUGACGAGCGCAGUAAACUGCGAUAACAAAUGUGAAUUGCAGAACUCCGUGAAUCAUUUAGGACUUGAACGCAACUUGCCCCUCACCGUCAAGGCUGAGGUGGGACCAGUUGAGCGCCAUUUAAAACAUAAUCCCGAAAGGGCGAUUGGGUUGGUAAAUCCUCCAUCCUUAAAUAACGGCUUUUAGGCGUAGGUAGCAAGAUUUAGCUACCCUAAUUGAUUAAAGUUAUCAUCCGUUCGGUGGUUGGGGUUUUUUAUCGAACGGGUGGCAACAUUUGCGUCGAAUUUAGUAGACGAACUGGCCUCAAACUAGUCCGGACUACCCACUGAACUUAAGCAUAUCAUUAUGUGGAGGAAAAGAAACCAACAGGGAUUCCCUUAGUAAGGGCGACUGAACAGGGAAAAGCUCAAACUUAAAAUCGGCCUGGGCCAAAACCCUCGUCCGAAUUGUAGUUUUGCGAAUGGAUUCUGGUGAAGUCACUGAUCUAAGUCCUCUGGAACGAGGUGCCAUAGAAGGUAACAGCCCUGUGAGGUUGGUGAUCGACCCUUAUGUUUCCAUUUCAAGGAGUCAGGCUAUUUGAGAGCAUAGCCUAAAGCGGGUGGUAAGCUCCAUCCAAAGCUAAAUAUCAGUGGGAGACCGAUAGCGAACAAGUACCGCGAGGGAAAGAUGAAAAAGACUCUGAAAAGAGAGUUAAAAGUAUUUGAAACCGUCGACAGUGAAGCGGAAGUGCCCUCCACUCCGUGGCGUGUGAAUCAGCGAGUUGCUGGGCUCCGAUCCUGGUUAUACGGCCGUUAAUUUGGCUGGGCGGCCGGGCGUUGGGGUUUGGUUUCUUGCGCACUUCACAGGCCUUAGGAUGCAACUGGUUUGUGUGAUCAAAUUGGGCGGUUGUGGAUGGUAAUCGGCUUGCCGGUGAAUACUGCAGCCCAACCCUAACUGUAUUGCAUAAAUUUAGGCUACGUGGCCUACCUCAUCUUUGCCAAGGGGUGACUUGGUUAGUGGAAGGUUGGCGUUGUCUCGCAAGGGAUGGUGUCGGCCCAAGCUAAUUGGGGAACUCACUAGGGUGGGGUUUUUGUUGUAUUGGGGGACCCUUCUGUCCCGUCUUGAAACACGGACCAAGGAGUGUUGAUUGCAUGCAAGUCUAAGGGGCGUUAAACCCUGGAGGCGUAGCGAAAGCAUUACGUGUGAUGGGGUAAAACCUUGCAACACGAACCAAUAAUGACACAGAGUGAAUAUAUUGAGUUUUAGCAUGCAGUCAACGACCCGAAAGACCGCGAACUAUACCUGCAUAGGGUGAAGCCAGAAGAAAUUCUGGUGGAGGCCCGUAGCGGUUCUGACGUGCAAAUCGAUCGUCAAAUGUGGGUAUAGCGGCGAAAGACUAAUCGAGCGGUCUAGUAGCUGGUUCCCUC
rnacentral:misc_RNA from 1 species